rnacentral:rRNA from 1 species
GACGAACGCUGGCGGCGUGCCUAAUACAUGCAAGUCGAGCGCAGGAAACUGACGGAACUCUUCGGAGGGAAGGCAGUGGAAUGAGCGGCGGACGGGUGAGUAACACGUAAGGAACCUGCCUCAAGGAUUGGGAUAACUCCGAGAAAUCGGAGCUAAUACCGGAUAGUUCAUCGGACCGCAUGGUCCGCUGAUGAAAGGCGCUCCGGCGUCACCUUGAGAUGGCCUUGCGGUGCAUUAGCUAGUUGGUGGGGUAACGGCCCACCAAGGCGACGAUGCAUAGCCGACCUGAGAGGGUGAUCGGCCACACUGGGACUGAGACACGGCCCAGACUCCUACGGGAGGCAGCAGUAGGGAAUCUUCCACAAUGGACGAAAGUCUGAUGGAGCAACGCCGCGUGAGUGAUGAAGGUUUUCGGAUCGUAAAACUCUGUUGUAAGGGAAGAACACGUACGAGAGGAAAUGCUCGUACCUUGACGGUACCUUACGAGAAAGCCACGGCUAACUACGUGCCAGCCGCCGCAGUAACAC